UAGAGCUGCAAGACAGGCUUUGCAGUGGUUUUGCUUUCUCUCAAUGCUGGAUUAGUUCUUAUAUUAAUCCCUAUUAAGACAAGUAAUUGUUUAUAGAGAGCAGCUUUAAUAGCAGUGCUAAGGUUUUCACUCUGCCUUUUCCUGUGUAUUGAAAGUCACUCAGCUGUGAAAGAUUACACUUCCAUCUGGAGACUUGUGCCAAGGAAAAAGGAAGGUCACCCUUGCAAAUGGACAACAAAAGUGCUUUGCUGGUUUAGUAGACGAGUUAAAAGCCAUGACAAUGGAGCUACUGCUGGUCAGGAAAAGGAAACAUGGAACAAAGGAACAAUUUUAGCCUGGUUGCAAGCAGGUUACAACCUCACUGAAGCCCCUGUAAUUACACCAGGGCUGAAUUGAGCCAUGCUGUCUUCAGAGAAACAACCUGUAUCUGGGAAGAAUAAAAACUGUUCACAGGUGUGUCCUUUCCAGAUCCUGUGCACACCCUGUUGCUACCCUCACACACAGCUGACGACUGAAAUCAUUCCUCCAGUCUAGUUUCUUGGUAUCCUUGUUGUAUUGAGUGUUGAGCAAUUCAGUGGCAGAACUCAUGUCCAGAUUUUACUGAAGCACAGCCAUAGCUCAGGUUUCAGAAGCUAAUAGUGGCCUGAAUACCUGUGAAUAAUCACUGCCCAACUUGAGAAAUGGAAAGCAUGAAGGUGUUGAUAUUCUGGCAAAUAUCCUUUUGUUUUUUUCCUAAAUAAAGACAUUUAAAUGGGAGCUGA